CCGGAAGAGUUUUCUGAACAACAACAACGCCGGUGUCCCUGGCUAACCUCGACUCUUUGAUCGAAAUUGAUUGGGACCUGAACGAAGCUGAGUCAUCCUCUUCCUCCUCCUCAUCUUCCUCAUUCCAACAAUUAAAGUCUCUGGGAAGGAGCAUAAUAAGGAAAAGAGAUUCAAACCAGGAGCUGCUUGAAUAUUUACGGACUGCAGAUGAGCGGUUCCUGCAACUCACGGGAGAACUGCAGAGAACUUCAUGAAUCCAUGCUGAAUAAAAAUGGGCGAAACUACAAAGUCAUUUCUGGCACUGUUGGGCCGUAUAGUUGUGGUGAUGGAGGGUCAGCAGGGACGCCAUGCUUAAACAUUUCUCAAUAUACAAACUUUAACGUAAUAACGUUUUGUGUAGAUUUCUUCUUGCUGUGGGUGGUCAGCUUUCAAGGGGAAAUGGCGAUUCAUUUUUUGAUGACGAUAAUUUGUGGUGACUCUAAAGUUCUUGAUGAAUGGGGCCGGAGUGAAUUUAGGAACAAUGGUCCAAUCCCACCAGUGAAGCGAGCGUGAAUACGGCAACACUGCAGACAUCCGCCUUCUCAUCAUAUGCAAGGCUAUCUGUUUAAUAAAAUGAUUAUAGAGUAGAUGGUACCAUGAGCUCAGGUUUGAACCAGCAGGCCUGGUGCUUCAAGACAACUGCACUAACCAUUGCACCACCGUGCAGGGUUGUACAGUGUAAUAUUUUCUGCACCUAUUCCUUAAACGAAACAUCACACCACACCACAGAGGCAUGGUUUUACAGUUGAGCCAACAACAGGCUUACAGUUAUCUUGUUAAGUAUUACUCAAACAGAACCAUUUGCUGGUUCUACUGGUGGCUCAAUGUGCAGGCUUCUGGAUGUGGGUCUUGAGGACUGGCAUUGGACUUUGGAUGAGGACGAUGACGAUGAGAAUGAUUUUAAUGUCUGCGGGAGUAUGCAGAGUUCGAAUCAUGGUAACUCCUGAGUGCAUGAUUGCGAGUGUGGGUUUGAAGUGGGUGUUAAUGACAGCUGCUGCUCAGCAGGAGACGGAGAACCCGUUCCGUCCCAAACAUCCUCUCUUUCAAAUCGAAUCGGACGAGACGCACUCCAUUCACAUUUCGCCGUCCAUCCCAUUUCCAGAUUUUGGUAAUGACUAACGAAGGAGAGAAUGUUUACUAUUGGGAGUUUGGCUUGUCUUUGUCUCCGCCCGCUUUUUGACCUCCUAACCUUUUCACCCCUCAGCCCGCCCAGGUCAGGAUCCCCAAAUCGGAGAAGAGAGGACUCCGAGAGCAAUCUGAAAAAGUGACUCGCACGUUUUUGGUGGGGUUUUUUUUUUCUUUCUGUUUUACAUGAAUUAUGAAUUUUUUUUUUUGCCAAACUUUUUAUUUAUCAAAUUACAAACCAUUACAGCUAGAGAAAUAACAUUCACAGUUGUAAAAAAGAAAAAAAAAGUAUUCUAUUGAAGCAGCAUCAUGAUUAAUUUUAGUAGUUUUGUUAUCUCAUGCAAUAAAAGUUUGCGAAAUGGAGUGUUUAGAGUGAUGAGUGCAUGCAUGGUGUGUCGUGUCGUGUGCCCUGUCAUGUCAAGUAUGUGCUGAAUCCGAUAUUAAACUUUUAUUGCUAUUUGUUCAAAUUUAACGCUAAACUAUUACUCACUCAGGACUUAGCGAAUUCUGUUUUGAUGGGAUUUCUGUUGCUUAUUUUUUUCAGAAGGAAAACUGAACACUUGGCAACAUUUUGUCCAAAAUAUCGUACGUUAAUCGUUUGUGAAAAUGCUAACACAAAAAAAACAACAACGAUGUUUUACUUUGUUUGGUACAGAAAUGCAGCAAAUUAACAAUGUAACUUUAGGCUCAUUGUGUGGUGGCAUGCUAGGCUAACGUUAAGUUGCACGCUGUCAGCGUUCCUGGCGUGCUUAAUGGUAAUCCUCUGAAUGUUUUCAAUAUUUCCUAAAUUCUGAGCCGGUUUCCUUGCUGUAAAGCUUUCUGUGCUAAGCAUUUACAUUCCGAAUAUAUUUCUUUUCCCGGACUUGCUUUAUCUGCUCAUGAUGCUAAUUUGCUGUCUCUAGUUUGUGCAGGUUCUGACCCUCUUUUUGGCAGGUUUUAGAUUAAACUGUACUGUUGCAUUGUGAAGUGUUUCAUGAAGUUAAAAAAAAAAACACCCACACUCUCACAGAAGUGGGUCAGCAGGCUGGUUAAGGAAAUCCCUAAAAACUCUCACGUUGUUUGUUUAAGA